AGGAUUGAAGUUAUUAGAACCCUCCAGUUAGAAUUGAUAACCCCGCUAUUUAUCCCUCCCACAUCUGUGGAAUGGAAUGCUGGAAGCAGAGGGGAUGGAGGCAGCCGGAAAAGUAGGGGAGGUGGUGUGCGUGACGGGUUCUAGCGGUUUCAUCGGUUCCACUCUCGUCCGCCUCCUCCUCCGCCGGGGCUAUACCGUCCGCGGCACCGUCCAGAACCUCCAGAAUGAGAAGGAGACGAGGCAUCUAGAAGCAUUAGAGGGAGCAGAUUCGAGUUUGCGUCUCUACCAGAUCGAUCUACUAGACUACGACUCUAUCUUCUCCGCCAUAAAUGGCGUCGUUGGCGUCUUCCACCUUGCCUCUCCGUGCACCGUGGAUCAAGUUACCGACCCACAGAGGGAGCUUCUUGAACCAGCGAUACAAGGCACACUCAACGUCCUCAAAGCAGCGAAAGCGAGCGGCGUGAAGCGGGUCGUUGUGACUUCGUCCAUUUCGGCCAUAGUUCCGAGCCCUGGUUGGCCAGCGGACGUUGUUAAGGGAGAAGAUUGCUGGACCGACGUUGAGUACUGUAAGCAAAACGGGUUGUGGUAUUCAGCGUCGAAAACUCUAGCAGAAAAAGAGGCAUGGAGAUUUGCGAAAGAGACCGGACUGAAUGUGGUUGUGGUUAAUCCGGGGACCGUACUGGGUCCCAUUCUGCCUCCUGCCAUCAAUGCGAGCAUGGGAGUGCUUCUUGGUCUUCUUCAGGGAAACACUGAUCCGUACAAGGAUUUGCACAUGGGAUCUGUACAUGUGAAUGAUGUGGCUCUAGCACAUAUUUUAGUAUAUGAGAAUGCUUCUGCAUCAGGAAGGCAUCUUUGUGUUGAAUCUAUUACUCAUUAUAGUGACUUUGUGGAUAUGGUUGCCGGACUUUAUCCAGAAUAUAACUUGCCUAGGUUCACUGAGGAAACCCAGCCUGGGUUACUGAGGGCAAGUAAUGCAUCCAAAAGGCUGAUUGAUUUGGGAAUGGAGUUUGUUCCAUUAGAGCAAACCAUCAAGGACUCGAUCGUGUCACUUCGAGAGAAAGGAUUUUUGAAUUGAAAAAUGCUGCUCAGAAUAUAACAUGAUAUGGCAUGUUUUGUACGUUUUCAUGGCUUUCUGCAUCUAUAUUACUGUACCUAUUCCCGGCAUAAAAUGUUUUGCAGGCAGCCCGACGCAACGGACUGGCGGUCGAGGGCAUCCGAUGGAUGGCAACCGAGGCACCCAAUGUAAAGGGAGAUGGGCAGGGGGCUCAUUUUGGAAGAAUCUAAUAAACUGUUCAUAUUGUUGGACUUGCCUUUGAUCGUCCCUCAUCAGCAACCUGAAUUUAAUGAGCACAGUGAAUUCUCUGCAUUGGGUACAAGCAAGGACUAACUAUUUGUGAAGCGUUGGUCGACUAGAGUCUUUGAGAUCACGUCAUUCCUUUGAGGGUAUGUGUAACCAUCCGAGCGAACGGGCAGGAAGAUUCUCUUUGGAGGAAGUUUCCAGGUAAAGUCGGUCUUCGACUAAUGUUUCAUAAGUGGUUGGUCACUCCAAUAAAGUUUCUUGCAUAUUCCGCUGCUGGGGAAUACGUCCCCUAUUCUUAUUAACAAAAAUUGAUAUUUACAAAGAGACAAAAGACAGAAAGGGGAGCACGACGAACUUCAAGGCAUCGCAUUCCAAAGCAGUUUUGUCCCCAAUGGGCAAGGCUUCAACAAUAAAGCGAUUACGUCAACAGCAGGUCUAAAAUGCAUAAUCUGUAGGUACUUUCUGCAGCAGAAGAGACUAGAAUUUCUAGUCCCUAGCAUCAAAAGGGUGAUCCAGCAGCCUUAUGGUCUUGUCUCUCCAUCAUUUAGGGCCUAUCGUGAGACCAAUCCCACUCUUCAGCGCGGGAGAGCUGAAAAUGAUGUCUUUCAAAAUGUUGAGCCAAACAUGGGCGGAACAGUGGUUGUGAGCAGUCAGCCCCAAUUGCAUCACCUCAUUUUGGUUGUUGGAAAAGCCAACAGCUACGUUGAAACAGUCAGAUUGUUGAAGAAUUGCAAUGUGUACACACGUCUUGCAAGGAAAGAGGGCUCUACGAUCAUCAAUCAGCCUCAAUACCCGUGACAAACCAAAGAGUGGCCAUCCGGUGAGUAAGCCUGUUAGUAAACUGCUUGUCCCAGAGAAGCUAUAAGUCUUUCCAAAUGCUUUGAGCUAUUACAGCUGGAGCAGGGGUGGCUUCGCCGCGACGGAUCCUAUUGCGCACUUUUCAGAUGUAACCAAGAACCAUGGGAAGAGUUGCCUCUCAUAUCUCAGACUUCCAACCACGUCUGAAGCUGCUUUCCUUCCAUUUAGAAUGGUGGCGAUGAUCUCCGGUGCAACCUUGCAGGGGGAGAGGGCCCCCGAACCCUUUUAUUUCUCAAACAUAGAGGAACAGGAAUGGAGAAGAAUACACAGUUGAAAAAAGAUGCACAACAUGGGUUCCAUCCAAGACAAGCAUGAAGAGCUUGCACAAAAUGUGGUGACCCUGAACCAAAAUUUACCUCAUGUUUCUAACGGUCAGUGACUGUAACGUCUCUAACGCAGGGUUGCAUCGAAGAGAAGUCAUUCUGUGAGCAUUAGUCUUCAGCACGGAGUAUCCCCAACCAGCCUGCACAUGUCUGCUCAAUGCCCUUUGGAGCUGCAUCUUCCACCUGUGCAGAGCCGCCACUAUGGCUAUCGAGUCCUUUGAGUUUGGGAGAGAAAGCAAGAGGUCACUCAAAAUUUGUUCUGCUACCUAGAAGAGAUUUGGGCGAGUAAACUUGCCCCGCGCCGUAACAAUUUCACCUUUGCUGUUUUUGAUGACACCUAUGAUCUUUCGUCCAGAAUUCCAAGUAAUAGCUGCUGUUUGGAUGAUGAAUGCUGGAUGAUGAAUGCCUGGCCCCCGAAAGAGGGCCACGGUUCUGGUCUGAUGGCCAUUGCCUGCCAACACAUUCUCCAAAUUCUCCUUUGCCAUUUCACCUUGAAGUCAUGGCAGCACCAUCACUUGGAACCGCUUCUUGCAGAUUCCUCCAUUGAGCAAUUCUGACAUCAAAAUUUCCUUCCCACCAAUUUCCAGCAACCGUGCACUCAGCAGCACUGGAUGAACGGAUGGGAGACUGAUUCUUCUUGUCUUGCACAUAUACUGCAUCGGUUCGUAAGAGAGAAUCCCAGCCUUCUUAAGUCUGUUGGGUAAGUAAAUGGCUGCACAUAGCAAGGCAGGCACACCAUUUAGCUCUAGGCAGCGCAUCAUUUUUCCAUAUUUUGUACCAAAUGGAAGUAAUCUCUUUGCGAAGGUGCACUAAAUCAUAGAUGUCCCGCUGACUGACCGCCGCAUUGCUGCGAUUAUCGAGCAUUAGGACGUCAGUCUCUUGGGAAAAGUUAGUGUGUUGGAUAACCUGGUUGAUCCGCGGGGAGUGAAUGUUGCAA